CAAAGGGUAGUUUAAUAAUAAAAUAUUAAUUUUGGGAAUUAAUGAUGAGUUUCUUUCCUUUGA
rnacentral:tRNA from 1 species